rnacentral:tRNA from 1 species
UCUCUUGUAGUAUAGUGGUCAGUAUACGAGCUUGUCACGCUCGGGACCCGGGUUCAAUUCCCGGCGAGAGAG